rnacentral:miRNA from 10 species
CGGGACUUUAGCAACUUCCAGC